UACGGAGGGUGCUAGCGUUGUUCGGAAUUACUGGGCGUAAAGCGCGCGUAGGCGGCUUUGUAAGUUAGAGGUGAAAGCCCGGAGCUCAACUCCGGAACUGCCUUUAAAACUGCAUCGCUUGAAUCCAGGAGAGGUGAGUGGAAUUCCGAGUGUAGAGGUGAAAUUCGUAGAUAUUCGCAAGAACACCAGUGGCGAAGGCGGCUCACUGGCCCGGUACUGACGCUGAGGUGCGAAAGCGUGGGGAGCAAACAGG
rnacentral:rRNA from 1 species